UACGUAGGGUGCGAGCGUUGUCCGGAAUUACUGGGCGUAAAGAGCUCGUAGGUGGUUUGUCGCGUUGUUCGUGAAAACUCACAGCUUAACUGUGGGCGUGCGGGCGAGUACGGGCAGACUGGAGUACUGCGAGGGGAGACUGGAAGUUCCUGGUGUAGCGGUGGAAUGCGCAGAUAUCAGGAGGAACACCGGGUGGCGAAGGCGGUUCUCUGGGCCUUACCUGACGCUGAGGAGCGAAGCGUGGGGAGCGAACAGG
rnacentral:rRNA from 1 species